rnacentral:tRNA from 1 species
AAAUAACUUUUAUUAGAA